AACGAACGCUGGCGGCGUGGAUAAGACAUGCAAGUCGGACGAGAUUUUUCGUUGUAGCAAUAUGAUGGGAAGUUUAGUGGCGAACGGGUGCUUAACACGUGGGCAACCUGCCAGGAAGUGGGGGAUAGCUCGCCGAAAGGCGAAUUAAUACCGCAUGUGAUUAGAGAGGACAUCCUUUCGAAAUUAAAGUCGGGGCAACCUGACGCUUCUUGUGGGGCCCGCGGCCUAUCAGCUAGUUGGUGGGGUAACGGCUCACCGAGGCUUUGACGGGUAGCUGGCCUGAGAGGACGACCAGCCACACUGGGACUGAGACACGGCCCAGACACCUACGGGUGGCAGCAGUCGAGAAUUUUUGACAAUGGGGGAAACCCUGAUCGAGCGACGCCGCGUGGAGGAUGACGGUCUUCGGAUCGUAAACUCCUGUCAUUGGGGAACAAUGCGUGACGGUUAACUGCCGUCGCGUUGAUAGUACCCGAAGAGGAAGAGACGGCUAACUCUGUGCCAGCAGCCGCAGUAAAAC
rnacentral:rRNA from 1 species